CUUGAAGAGGGGGACAACAGUUGGAAACGACUGCUAAUACCGCAUAACGCAUAGGGGUCGCAUGAUCUUUAUGCCAAAGAUUUAUUGCUUCAAGAUGGCCUCGCGUCUGAUUAGCUAGUUGGCGGGGUAACGGCCCACCAAGGCGACGAUCAGUAGCCGGACUGAGAGGUUGAACGGCCACAUUGGGACUGAGAUACGGCCCAGACUCCUACGGGAGGCAGCAGUGGGGAAUAUUGGGCAAUGGGCGCAAGCCUGACCCAGCAACGCCGCGUGAAGGAAGAAGGCUUUCGGGUUGUAAACUUCUUUUAAGAGGGAAGAGUAGAAGACGGUACCUCUAGAAUAAGCCACGGCUAACUACGUGCCAGCAGCCGCGGUAAUACGUAGGUGGCAAGCGUUGUCCGGAUUUACUGGGUGUAAAGGGCGUGCAGCCGGGUCUGCAAGUCAGAUGUGAAAUCCAUGGGCUCAACCCAUGAACUGCAUUUGAAACUGUAGAUCUUGAGUGUCGGAGGGGCAAUCGGAAUUCCUAGUGUAGCGGUGAAAUGCGUAGAUAUUAGGAGGAACACCAGUGGCGAAGGCGGAUUGCUGGACGAUAACUGACGGUGAGGCGCGAAA
rnacentral:rRNA from 1 species